rnacentral:rRNA from 1 species
UACAUAGGGUGCAAGCGUUGUCCGGAAUUAUUGGGCGUAAAGAGCUCGUAGGUGGUUCGUCACGUCGGAUGUGGAAACUCUGGGGCUUAACCCCAGACCUGCAUUCGAUACGGGCGAGCUUGAGUAUGGUAGGGGGAGUCUGGAAUUCCUGGUGUAGCGGUGGAAUGCGCAGAUAUCAGGAGGAACACCAAUGGCGAAGGCAGGUCUCUGGGCCAAUACUGACACUGGAGGAAGCGGAAAAGUCUGGGGGAGCGAAACAGGA